rnacentral:tRNA from 1 species
GGUUGGGUCGCAUAGUGGCAAUUGCUGGAGACUGUAAAUCUCCUCCCUUCGGGGUUCGUUGGUUCGAGUCCAACCCCAACCACCA